AUGAGCCUAUUCCGCAAGGUCUCAUGACUCCACACAUGUGAAGUGAAAUCUGCCAGGUGGGGAUCAUUUGACAUUUGCUAUAAAGGAAGCAUGAGGAGUAUGGGAAGACUUGCCACUCUAGGGGAGUAUGAGGUUCAGGUUACUUAGGGUGCUUUUUCUACUGUCCUCGUGAAAUGGAAUCAGUGUUUCUAAGUAGACUACUUUUUCAUCGUGUUUUGUACAAGCUCUGUGAAAUAGUUUGGGACACUCUAUGAGCUACUAACAUUGGUGGUGACUACUCAGAAUGGGAAAAACCUGGCGGUGCUACUUCCCCAUGAAGUUGUUUGGAAGAAAGUAAAAUUCAGAAGCUGGCAGGUCUGCCAGUAGCUGACAGAGUAGAAAGGUGUGCCUCUCUCUCUUUUUUGUAUAGAGUUAGAGGCAAGCCUGAUAUCCAGCCAAGACGGACAAAGGAGAAGGACAAGGACAAAGCCUGGGAGGAAGACUAUGAGCCUUCAGCACGAGAGACCCCCAGAGGGACCACCGGGGACUGAUAUGCAUGUGCCAGUGGGAGGGUUCGGAAUCCGGGAACUAAUUAUAAUAACACUGCCUUUUCUAGAAGUAGUAAUGAACAUGUAUUAGCCUAGGAGCAGAAAAAGCUGCCGCCUGAUGUAACGUGUGUGUGUUGGAGGAGCCCAGACUCCCCGCGCACCCAGCGCUCUUUACUUGCCUUUUAUUAACCCCAUAAAUAAAUCUCAUAAAGCUAAGUUGACUCGGAAUUUAUAACAGUAUGAUGAAAAGUGUUGCACUCCAAGUUGGGAAGGGGAGAGGAAAAUGCUCAUGUAUACG